UAUAUUUGCUCCCUAUUUACGAUAAACGUAUUCAAUCGCAUAAAAAUUAUUUAAAUAAUAUUGGAAUG
ncrna:unclassified sequences S15-Flavobacteria ribosomal protein leader